rnacentral:tRNA from 1 species
UCCAAUAGAGCCCAGUGGUUAGGGCACUCACCUAGGACAUGGAAGAUCUGGGUUCAACUCCUCAUUUUGGAG